rnacentral:rRNA from 1 species
ACGAACGCUGGCGGCAGGCCUCACACAUGCAAGUCGAGCGAGGACUUCGGUUCUAGCGGCGGACGGGUGAGUAACGCGUGGGAAUGUGCCCUUCUCUACGGAAUAGCCCUGGGAAACUGGGAGUAAUACCGUAUACGCCCUAUUGGGGAAAGAUUUAUCGGAGAAGGAUCAGCCCGCGUUGGAUUAGGUAGUUGGUGGGGUAAUGGCCUACCAAGCCGACGAUCCAUAGCUGGUUUGAGAGGAUGAUCAGCCACACUGGGACUGAGACACGGCCCAGACUCCCACGGGAGACAGCAGUGGGGAAUCUUAGACAAUGGGGGCAACCCUGAUCUAGCCAUGCCGCGUGAGUGAUGAAGGCCUUAGGGUUGUAAAGCUCUUUCAGCUGGGAAGAUAAUGACGGUACCAGCAGAAGAAGCCCCGGCUAACUCCGUG